rfam:Lactobacillus mixtipabuli DNA, scaffold: sequence02, strain: IWT30.
UACCUUAUGAUAUACUGUUAGAGCAAAGAGUUUCAUGGGUGGUGGCGUCAAUACGAAAGUAGAUGAUGCCCAUGAUUUACAAAAUCUACGAAAGAUUCAGACUGUGUCAGUUUUUGACACUCUAUCGUUGAUGAUUGCUUUUGCAACAUUAACGAUACUGAUUGACCGCGGAAA